rnacentral:rRNA from 1 species
ACGGCUCAGUAACACGUAGUCAACCUAACCUAUGGACGGGAAUAACCUCGGGAAACUGAGAAUAAUGCCCGAUAGAACACUAUACCUGGAAUGGUUUGUGUUCCAAAUGAUUUAUCGCCAUAGGAUGGGACUGCGGCCUAUCAGUUUGUUGGUGAGGUAAUGGCCCACCAAGACUAUUACAGGUACGGGCUCUGAGAGGAGUAGCCCGGAGAUGGGUACUGAGACACGGACCCAGGCCCUAUGGGGCGCAGCAGGCGAGAAAACUUUGCAAUGUGCGAAAGCACGACAAGGUUAAUCCGAGUGAUUUGUGCUAAACGAAUCUUUUGUUAGUCCUAGAAACACUAACGAAUAAGGGGUGGGCAAGUCCUGGUGUCAGCCGCCGCGGUAAAACCAGCACCUCAAGUGGUCAGGAUGAUUAUUGGGCCUAAAGCAUCCGUAGCCGGCUCUGUAAGUUUUCGGUUAAAUCUGUACGCUUAACGUACAGGCUGCCGGGAAUACUGCAGAGCUAGGGAGUGGGAGAGGUAGACGGUACUCGGUAGGAAGUGGUAAAAUGCUUUGAUCUAUCGAUGACCACCUGUGGCGAAGGCGGUCUACCAGAACACGUCCGACGGUGAGGGAUGAAAGCUGGGGGAGCAAACCGGAUUAGAUACCCGGGUAGUCCCAGCUGUAAACUAUGCAAACUCAGUGAUGCAUUGGCUUGUGGCCAAUGCAGUGCUGCAGGGAAGCCGUUAAGUUUGCCGCCUGGGAAGUACGUACGCAAGUAUGAAACUUAAAGGAAUUGGCGGGGGAGCAC